GGACUGAUUAUGAGCAUGAGUGUAUGAUUUUAAAUUGGUCUGUGUGUAUUGAAUUGCUGUGUUUGUGUGUGUAAAUAAAGUGUGACUAUAUGUAAAGUGUUGUGAGUUUGUGCUUGAGUGACUGUGUGUGUGUGUAUGUGUGUGUUAGUGAAAGUGUGAAGUGGCAAUGUAAAUGUCACAGAGAGUGUGUGUGUGUGUGUGUGAGAGAGAGAGAGAGAAUGUGUAAG